rnacentral:rRNA from 1 species
GACGAACGCUGGCGGCGUGCUUAACACAUGCAAGUCGAACGGAAAGGCCCUGCUUUUGUGGGGUGAUCGAGUGGCGAACGGGUGCGUAACACGUGAGUAACCUGCCCUUGACUUUGGGAUAACUUCAGGAAACUGGGGCUAAUACCGGAUAGGAGCUCCUGCUGCAUGGUGGGGGUUGGAAAGUCUCGGCGGUUGGGGAUGGACUCGCGGCUUAUCAGCUUGUUGGUGGGGUAGUGGCUUACCAAGGCUUUGACGGGUAGGCGGCCUGAGAGGGUGACCGGCCACAUUGCGACUGAGGUACGGCCCAGACUCCUACGGGGGGCAGCAGUGGGGAAUAUUGCACAAUGGGCGGGAGCCUGAUGCAGCAGCGCCGCGUGCGGGAUGACGGCCUUCGGGUUGUAAACCGCUUUCGCCUGUGACGAAGCGUUAGUGACGGUAAUGGGUAAAGAAGCACCGGCUAACUACGUG